GUUGAAUUCAACAGGAUUAACAAACCAGAACAAAUUCAAUGGUGCAAAGAUAACGGAAGCAAGUGGCAAUCUCCCGAAGUACGUCACGCUGCAACCUGAAGGAAGCAGCGGCUGAACAUUCAACUCGGCCUAACCCACGUCACGUCACGUCAAGAACCUGUCCUGCUGUUUUGUUCCAGAAGCACUGGGAUAAUGCAUAACUGGGAUAACGUUGCGAAGUUUACAUAGCCUUUCUAAGUUUGUUUUUUAUUUAGAUACAUUGUAUUUCUUUGCCAAGAGUAGACCUACAUCAACUGAGCAGAAUCACCCUAUCAUUCUCAACGAUUGGUAGGCGGUUGUUAUGAGUUG
rnacentral:lncRNA from 1 species